CUGGAGAUGGCUCAGUGGUUAAGAGCACUGGCUGCUCUUCCAGAGGACCUGGGUUCAAUUCCCAGCACCCACA
rnacentral:tRNA from 1 species